GGGCCCGUGGUCUAGCUAGGAUUAGGAUGCGGCGUUCGGGUCGCCGUGGUCCCGGGUUCAAAUCCCGGCGGGCCCA
rnacentral:tRNA from 5 species